GACAUCCCUACCUGAGAAGGUGACUGGUUGGGUGGUUGAAUACCAAGAUAAUCUGGUAAGCCGUGGUGUUGAUGAGUCCUUAGCUCAAGUUUGUUCCAAGAGUGGUGCAAUGGAUCCCCUUAUGAAUGCAUAUGUUGAAAGAAUGCAAGCUACAACAAGGAAAUGGUACUUGAAUAUCCUUGAAGCUGAAAAGGUACAACCACCAAAGAAAACAGAUGAUGGGAGGCUAUAUACACCUGCUGCUGUUGAUUUGUUUAGGAUCCUUGGCGAGCAUGUGCAAAUUGCUCAUGAAAAUAACAUCGAUAUCAUGCUGUACAG